rnacentral:tRNA from 1 species
CAGGGAGACAAAAACUGAUCGUGAUGUCUAGGCUUUUUGUUCCUAGGCCAUGAUCCUGUCACCUUAGGUCGAUCGGUAUCUCAGGUUUUUUAACUACAAAGGAUAUAGCUUUGUUUUUGAUUAAUUUCAGUUCCUAAACUUUGUCUAGGUCACACCCAGCAAGGGUACUCCUGGGCCAUUAGCUCAGGUGGUUAGAGCGCACCCCUGAUAAGGGUGAGGUCCCUGGUUCAAGUCCAGGAUGGCCCAUUCGGUGUUGGGGGUAUAGCUCAGUUGGUAGAGCGCCUGCUUUGCAAGCAGGAUGUCAGCGGUUCGAGUCCGCUUACCUCCACUGAUCACACUCCUGAUAGCCAAUUUAAGGAGAUUACUUUUGCUAGUUGUGAUUUAUUCAUUUAUCUGAAUGACCCUAGCUUCUUAUCAUUCCAAAAUCUAAAUAUGUUUAGUUUUGGUUGAUGAAGAUGCUGGGCUCACUUAAAUUCUCUUGAAUUUUUGUCAGUUCAGUAGAACCUUGAAAACUGCAUAGUGAGUCUGGAAUAAAUAAAGCAUCUCAUAGAUGCAUUAUUUAUUUAAGUUGAAAGUAUAUGUGUAAACAUUGCUUUUCUUACUUAAAAGUAAAUAAUGUUUGAUUCUUGAGUUAAGAGCUUAGGCUCUAUAGAAGAUCUUUAUUCAAAACGAAAAAAGAUUUAAAUUUAUAGAGUUCAAAU